rnacentral:tRNA from 4 species
GCUGCUGUAGCUCAGUUGGUAGAGUACGUCCUUGGUAAGGACGGGGUCAUGGGUUCAAGUCCCAUCAGCAGCU